rnacentral:lncRNA from 1 species
UUAAGAGUAUCUAUUAAACCCUACUGGCUCGCUCUCCAAAAAUCUGAGGAACCCCUAAAUCGGCAAAGGCGAUGGAGUGGAGGCACUGGAGCACGGGGCACUGCAAUCCCCUUCGGAAGCCAGGUAAGCCCCCUGCCUUCUCUCCCCCUGUUUUGUGCAAGACAACAAAGAAACAAAGAAAGAAGGGAGGAAGGGGAUUGUUGGCAGGCCGAGAGCCACCGGCGACGGCCAUCGGCUUCAGCCGUGAUCCCGUCGGCGCGGGCGUCGGCUGCUGGCAGACCAAGG